rnacentral:rRNA from 1 species
UACGUAGGGCGCAAGCGUUGUCCGGAAUUAUUGGGCGUAAAGAGCUCGUAGGCGGCUUGUCACGUCGGGUGUGAAAGCCCGGGGCUUAACCCCGGGUCUGCAUUCGAUACGGGCUGGCUAGAGUGUGGUAGGGGAGAUCGGAAUUCCUGGUGUAGCGGUGAAAUGCGCAGAUAUCAGGAGGAACACCGGUGGCGAAGGCGGAUCUCUGGUCUGUAACUGACGCUGAGGCGCGAAAGCGUGGGGAGCAAACAGG